UACGUAGGGGGGCAAGCGUUUGUCCGGAAUCAUUGGGCGUAAAGAGCGUGUAGGCGGUUCGGUAAGUCUGCUGUGAAAGUCGGGGGCUCAACCCUGGGAUGCCGGUGGAUACUGUCGGGCUAGAGUCCGGAAGAGGAGUGUGGAAUUCCUGGUGUAGCGGUGAAAUGCGCAGAUAUCAGGAGGAACACCGAUGGCGAAGGCAGCACUCUGGGACGUGACUGACGCUGAGACGCGAAAGCGUGGGGAGCAAACAGG
rnacentral:rRNA from 1 species